GGGGUUUGUGCACUUGUGGUGGCCCUACUCCUUUGCAAAGCCAUUGCCGAGGGGUUUCACCCGACCACACACAAGUGUAAGUCCAACCAAACUCAUCUUGGCCCAUAAAUGGAGACACCCAAGACUAGGACCUCCUGCUAUUCUCACCACAUGACUCAUCACUCUCUAAUUGAGCAUGGAUGGUCAUUAGAAUGUCCAGGUAAG
rnacentral:lncRNA from 1 species